CCUACGGGUGGCAGCAGUGGGGAAUUUUGGACAAUGGGCGCAAGCCUGAUCCAGCUAUUCCGCGUGUGGGAUGACGGCCUUCGGGUUGUAAACCACUUUUGUAGAGAACGAAAAGUCUGUUGAUAAUACCGAUAGAUGAUGACGGUACUCUAAGAAUAAGCACCGGCUAACUACGUGCCAGCAGCCGCGGUAAUACGUAGGGUGCGAGCGUUAAUCGGAAUUACUGGGCGGAACGUGUGUGAAGGCGGGUUUGCAAGAUGGAUGUGAAAGCCCCGGGCUUAACCUGGGAAAGCCAUACAUGACUGCAAGACUAGAGUGCGUCAGAGGUGGGUGGAAUUCCAAGUGUAGCAGUGAAAUGCGUAGAUAUUUGGAAGAACACCGAUGGCGAAGGCAGCCCCCUGGGACGCAACUGACGCUCAUACACGAAAGCGUGGGGAGCAAACAGGAUUAGAUACCCGGGUAGUC
rnacentral:rRNA from 1 species